AUUGAACGCUGGCGGCAUGCUUUACACAUGCAAGUCGAACGGUAACAGGGAGCUUGCUCCGCUGACGAGUGGCGAACGGGUGAGUAAUGCGUCGGAACGUGCCGAGUAGUGGGGGAUAACGCAGCGAAAGUUGUGCUAAUACCGCAUACGUACUGAGGUAGAAAGUGGGGGACCUUCGGGCCUCACGCUAUUCGAGCGGCCGACGUCUGAUUAGCUAGUAGGUGAGGUAAUGGCUCACCAAGGCGACGAUCCGUAACUGGUCUGAGAGGAUGAUCAGUCACACUGGAACUGAGACACGGUCCAGACUCCUACGGGAGGCAGCAGUGGGGAAUAUUGGACAAUGGGCGAAAGCCUGAUCCAGCCAUGCCGCGUGUGUGAAGAAGGUCUUCGGAUUGUAAAGUACUUUAAGUUGGGAGGAAGGGUUGUAGAUUAAUACUCUGCAACUUUGACGUUACCGACAGAAUAAGCACCGGCUAACUCUGUGCCAGCCGCCGCCGUAAUAC
rnacentral:rRNA from 1 species